GGGCAUGAAGUCUGUCAUCAGCUAAGCACUUCAAAGAUUCAUUAGGUCGUUCUAUUAUGGUACCAUUGGAUUUUGCGUAUAUGCCACAUAUUUUCUGCACCUGUACAACAUUUUCAGUGAAUUUUUUGUUUAUUAACAUAUUCAGCGAGCGCAGAGCAAGAUGGUACAAAAUUCUUGUGAUAUUUAUGCAAUCUGAAGCAAGUUGUGAACGAAGAAUAUACAUACAAUAUAUAUAACAUGCAGUGAUGUUUGCCAGAGUUCGAAUUUGAAGCUUGAGAAUGUAUAGGUACCAUUCGGUGAAACUAAGUCACGCGGGAUAUCGACGCGUAAGUAAUGAAGCUAUUUUCCCUAUAAUAUCGAUUUUAUUUCUGGGAUUCUGGGAAUAUGGAAGCACCGACCCUGACUUCAAAAUAAUAUGAUUCGUUUCAACAGCCUUUCAAAUUGGAGAACUAGAAGAUAUAUAUAUAUAGGAGAACUGUAGGAGAACAAGAUCUGUUAUGAAAGAAGAUAUUUUCUGAAAAAUUGUAAUUCAAUAAACUGAUCAGUUACUGAAGUAUAAGAUAUUCUAGGAAUGUUGGAAGAAAAUUAUUUGAAAGAAUCCCACUUCAUUAACAAAAAGUUAUGCAGAAUUUAGAGUGCAAUAAAUAUUCUUUGAGGAUUUU